AGAAUCAACGCUGGCGGCGUGCCUAACACAUGCAAGUCGCACGAGAAAGGGGAGCAAUCCCUGAGUACAGUGGCGCACGGGUGAGUAACACGUGAAUCAUCUACCUCCGAGUGGGGAAUAACUGAGAGAAAUCUUAGCUAAUACCGCAUAAUACCCACGGGUCAAAGCAGUAAUGCGCUUGGAGAGGAGUUCGCGGCAGAUUAGUUAGUUGGCGGGGUAAUGGCCCACCAAGACGAUGAUCUGUAUCCGGCCUGAGAGGGCGCACGGACACACUGGAACUGAAACACGGUCCAGACUCCUACGGGAGGCAGCAGUGGGGGAAUUUUGCGCAAUGGGGGAAACCCUGACGCAGCAACGCCGCGUGGAGGAUGAAGCCCCUUGGGGUGUAAACUCCUUUCGAUCGGGAAGAUAAUGACGGUACCGAUAUAAGAAGCCCCGGCUAACUUCGCGCCAGCAGCCGC
rnacentral:rRNA from 1 species